rnacentral:rRNA from 1 species
AAUCCUGACGCUUCCGGAUAUGCUCGGCGGGGUCGUCGCCCCGUCUAAGCAGUAUACGCGAUUGGAGUACCGUAAUGGUGAGAAUUUCGCGAACCUGUUAUGGGGUAACUGAGCAAAUUCCAGGAGCCCGUGAAAAGGGUGGAUGCAGUCCGUACCAAGAGCUGACACAGGUGCCCCUCGCUGAGAAGGCGAAGGCGUGUCGGAAUUAAUCGUGUUAAGGGAACUCGGCAAAUUGGCCCUGUAACAUCGGGAUAAGGGGUGCCUGCCCAGAGAUUGGGCAGGUCGCAGUGACAAGGGCGCUCCGACUGUCUAAUAACAACAUAGCAGACUGCAACUCCGAAAGGACUAGUAUAGUCUGUGAUUCCUGCCCAGUGCGAGUAUCUGAACACCGGGUUCAACCGGACGAAGGACUCGUAAACGGCGGGGGUAACCAUGACCCUCUUAAGGUAGCGUAGUACCUUGUCGCUUAAUUGGCGACUUGCAUGAAUGGAAUAACGAGAGCGCUACUGUCCCUAACACGAAUCCGUUGAACCUUUUGUACUAGUGCAGAGACUAGUGACUCCUUAUGGGAAGUGAAGACCCCGUGGAGCUUUACUGCAGCCUGUCGUUGGAUUACGGUAUUACCUGCGCAGGGUAGAUGGGAGGCGUCGAGCCGGUCCUUGUGGGGAUCGGGGAGCCAACGAUGAGACACCAUCCUGGUUUUAUUGUAAUUCUAACUGAGUUUCUCAGGACAUCGAUAGGUGGGCAGUUUGGGUGGGGCGCCACACCCUCGAAAAAAUAUCAAGGGUGCCCUAAGGUCAACUCAAGCGGGUCAGAAACCCGCUGGAGAGUGUCAAGAGCAUAAGUUGGCCUGACGCGAUUGAGCAUAACAAUCAAUCGCGAGAGGAAACUCGGGUCUAACGAACCAAUACGCCCUGCAGGUGAGGGCUAUUGACUACAGAAAAGCUACCCCGGGGAUAACAGAGUCGCCGGCAAGAGCACAUAUCGACCCGGCGGCUUGCUACCUCGAUGUCGGUUCUUUCCAUCCUGGCUGUGCAGCAGCAGCCAAGGGUGAGGUUGUUCGCCUAUUAAAGGGGAUCGUGAGCUGGGUUUAGACCGUCGUGAGACAGGUCGGUUACUAUCUAUAAGGAGUGCAGGAAGUCUGAAGGGAAGAAUGAAAUAGUACGAGAGGAACUUUCAUUCGGCGCCUCUGGUCGAUCGGUUGUCUGACAAGGCACUGCCGAGCAGCUACGCGCCACGUGAUAAAAGCUGAAAGCAUCUAAGCUUGAAACAUACCCCAAAAAGAGACUUCAUUAAAGACACGGAUAGAAGAUCCGGUUGAUAGGAUCGGGAUGUACGCACGAAGGCAACGACGUGUUCAGUCCGCGAUUACUAAUUGUCCUAGU